rnacentral:lncRNA from 1 species
AGGUCUUAAUUAUAUUUGGUUAAUGACUUAUAUCACCAAACACGUAUUUUUAAAUACAAGAGGGGAGAAAACUCCCUUUUACGUUCAACGUGCCUUGCAAAUAAAAAUUUAUGUGUUACGACAUGUCGCAACUAACAAUUUAGUAAAAAUAAUUUGUUGAUAUCUUAUACGGUCUUUGGAUAUAAGUGAAAAUAAGCCAAAUUCAAAUAUUAGAAUAUGACCUUGACCUUUGACCUUGACCUUAUUUUCAUUUUUUUGGACCAAGGACCUCAAAUCAAAAGAUCCUAAGUCUCUAUCACUUAUGGUUUAUAAGAUAGAAAUGCAUAUCACUUAUAUCAGAUGCAUAAGGGGAAAUAACUCUCAUAUGGAGCGGUCAUAUUGCUUCGGUCAAAAUAGGACAAAUCAUGCAAAGGAUAUAACGAGCAAUUUUGUAAAAUAAAUUUGUCGUUAUCUUUUACGGUUGCGAUGGAGUUGUGAGCACAAGGAAAACAGUGUUUGGGGAAAUAACUCCUACAAAGAAAAGUAUUCGGUUACGCAGGGUAAAUUUCAAAAGCGCAUAAACUGGUCGAUAUCAUAUACCAAAUAUCAAAGCGACAUAUUGUGAAACAAAUGUUUAUCGCAAGAACAAAAUUAGGCGGAAGAAAAAAAAAAAAAAAAAAAUAUCAGAAGAAAAACAAUAGGUCUUUCCACAGAAAAGUGGAAAGACCUAAAAAGAAAAAAAAUAUAAAUCAAUUGCUUUUAAAAAGCAAUUGGAGGCGGUCUUUCCCCCUUUGAAAUUGAUUGAAUGGGGGGGGGUGUUUGUUUGUUUGUUUGUUUGUUUCUGUAUGGGGUCUAUAUUAUUGUUACCGGAGAAGUUUCAUGUUUAGUUUGGAAAGUUUUUAUUUUAUUUUAGGUACAGCUCGCGCGCCAGAUUGAGGAGACAUCACGUGACGCGGGUUUAUAAUAACGAAAACUUAUUUUUAUUUCUUUUCAGGUGGGGACGUUGAACAGACACCAUGUAUGGAGACA